rnacentral:rRNA from 1 species
GCACAAGCAGUGAGUAUGUGGUUUAAUUCGAAGCAACGCGAAGAACCUUUACCAGGGCUUGACAUCCCUUGAAGCAGCUAGAGAUAGCUGUGUCCUUCGGGACAAGGAGACAGGUGGUGCAUGGUUGUCGUCAGCUCGUGUCGUGAGAUGUUGGGUUAAGUCCCGCAACGAGCGCAACCCCUGUGGUUAGUUGCCAGCAAGUAGCGUUGGGCACUCUAGCCAGACUGCCGGUGAUAAAUCGGAGGAAGGUGGGGACGACGUCAAAUCAUCAUGCCCUUUAUGUCCUGGGCUACACACGUACUACAAUGGCCGUUACAACGGGAAGCGAAGGAGCAAUCCGGAGCAAAUCCCUUAAAGGCGGUCCCAGUUCAGAUUGUGGGCUGAAACUCGCCCACAUGAAGGCGGAAUUGCUAGUAAUUGCAGAUCAGCAUGCUGCAGUGAAUACGUUCCCGGGCCUU